GGGGAAUAUUGCGCAAUGGGCGGAAGCCUGACGCAGCGACGCCGCGUGAGGGAUGACGGCCUUCGGGUUGUAAACCUCUUUCAGCAGGGACGAAUGUAGACGGUACCUGUAGACGAAGCACCGGCCAACUACGUGCCAGCAGCCGCGGUAAUACGUAGGGUGCGAGCGUUGUCCGGAAUUAUUGGGCGUAAAGAGCUCGUAGGCGGUCUGUCGCGUCGAAUGUGAAAACCCGGGGCUCAACUCCGGGCUUGCAUUCGAUACGGGCAGGCUAGAGUUCGGUAGGGGAGUCUGGAAUUCCUGGUGUAGCGGUGAAAUGCGCAGAUAUCAGGAGGAACACCGGUGGCGAAGGCGGGACUCUGGGCCGAUACUGACGCUGAGGAGCGAAAGCGUGGGGAGCAAAC
rnacentral:rRNA from 1 species